AGCAAAGGGCGGCCGAACAGCCCCGCCGAACCAUCAAUGAGAUCUUCUGGGAGUUAAUUAUGCUGUAACUCUUUUGCUGUUUGGAGCUCAUUAAUUCCCCGCCCCCUCUUCCCUUCCCUCCUUUAAACUGUUCAGUUAUUUCCAGCUAAAGGCUGCUCAUCGUCUGGAAGAGUCCCCUAGGACCAAACUGCUUACCAAACAAUAACGGUAGCUUUCUGCUUCAGCUAUAAAAUGCCCUUCCUCUAGGAGACGGCUCUUUUGAUGGUAGCGGCUUGGAUUUGCAUAAUGUGGUGCCUGAAGAAAUCAUUAAUACUUUAGAAGAAUGACACCUACAUUGGGAAAAGAUUUCUUGGCCUGGACAUCCUUACACCAAUGGAAAAGCCUGCGCAUGUAUGUGUGCAUAUCUUAGCACACAUGUAGCAUGGGAUAGUGUGGAGGGGAUUGCUGCUUUGCAAUGUCAUCAUUUGCCCUGGAAGGCACGUAACAGAGAUGAGUUAGGGUUUUUAGUACCAUUUUGAUCCAAUAACGACACAGCAAUUAACAAUGUUUUUCUUCUCCUUCAGCAAUCCUUCAGAUUGGAUUUUCCACCAAUAGAUGUGGUCUACAAUCUAUAAAUAGUGUUUCAGCAUAAGGAGUGUGGGGGAGGCACACUGGUGGAGGCAUAGAAAUAGAGGAACAACUCCAUCAGAUUCAACACUAUGAAAGCCCUGCAUGUCCAGGGACCAUGUCUCUACCACUUGUCCACAUUUCCAUUUUGUUGUUGAAAACUCAGAGAUCAGUUUUCCAAAGAAAGAAUGUAAAUGAUGUGCAUUUGCAUUUGCCAGUUGCAAUGCAAUUGUUGCUUCAGGUCACAACAGCUAGCUGCAGGAAAUUCCCUUCCCUCUUUCUGCCAUUUUUCUGAAAACACAGUCCAAGCUUCACCCUGGAAGAGGACUCACUUAUGCCUGCUACCCUGCCCACCCACCACAAUCCCAUGACAUCACCGUUUCCUUAGCAACUCAAGGACUUCAAAGGAGGAAGGAGAUGGAGGAGACAAAGAAUGGGAAAAAAGUAUUCACUUAAAAUUCCAUCUGUGAGGGCCUGUAAAGAUUUCAUAGCCUCUGAUUUGGGGAGAUCAGUCAGCUUCAGGAACUGUUAAGCCUGAGGCAAUAAUAAAGUUCAGAGGUGCUCA